rnacentral:rRNA from 1 species
GGCGCAGCCUGAUGCAGCCAUGCCGCGUGUGUGAAGAAGGCCUUCGGGUUGUAAAGCACUUUCAGCGAGGAGGAAGGGUUCAGUGUUAAUAGCACUGUUCAUUGACGUUACUCGCAGAAGAAGCACCGGCUAACUCCGUGCCAGCAGCCGCGGUAAUGAC